GACGAACGCUGGCGGCGUGCUUAACACAUGCAAGUCGAACGGAAAGGCCCUGCUUUUGUGGGGUGCUCGAGUGGCGAACGGGUGAGUAACACGUGAGUAACCUGCCCUUGACUUUGGGAUAACUUCAGGAAACUGGGGCUAAUACCGGAUAGGAGCUCCUGCUGCAUGGUGGGGGUUGGAAAGUUUCGGCGGUUGGGGAUGGACUCGCGGCUUAUCAGCUUGUUGGUGGGGUAGUGGCUUACCAAGGCUUUGACGGGUAGCCGACCUGAGAGGGUGACCGGCCACAUUGGGACUGAGAUACGGCCCAGACUCCUACGGGAGGCAGCAGUGGGGAAUAUUGUACAAUGGGCGGAAGCCUGAUGCAGCAACGCCGCGUGCGGGAUGACGGCCUUCGGGUUGUAAACCGCUUUCGCCUGUGACGAAGCGUGAGUGACGGUAAUGGGUAAAGAAGCACCGGCUAACUACGUG
rnacentral:rRNA from 1 species